CUUCCCACCUCACCUUUUCUCUACCUUUUCUCUACCUUUUCGCUACCUUUUCUCUACCCAGCAUCCAAGCUGCGGUGUGGAAAGGUUUUCAGAUAUGACUUUUAACUUGUUCACGGACUAGCGGCCGGCUCCCUCCCUCAGACCGCCAUCAUGGCGGCCGCCUCAGCCGGGCUCCCUCACAGACUCUCGGCCCUCCCUCCCGCCUCACUGUUCAGCACAAAUACCCGUCCGCAGCUCCCUGUUCACCCCUCACCUGGGGUCUUGCACCUACUCCACAUUCCCACUUACUUUCUCCAGAACACGUCUCUGUUUCCUGAAGCAAGGCAGUGGCGGGAAGAUGAGGAACAUUUUGGCGGGAAGAUGAGGAAUCUUGUCGUAACAUGGCGGCCUUCACUGUCACGCACCCUGCUGUAGCCCGCGAGCUGCAUGAGGGGGCUAUGGUCACGCUACUUAACCACAAGGUUGUUAGUUACUCCUGCAAGACAAAACGACCUCAAGUUGCACCUCAAGAUUAAUCCAUCUCUUGCUCUGUCUUCAGUCUUCUCAAUAUUCCCCACAGGUGGAAAACAAGCCAAUGAAAGAAGUGUCUUUUGGGCAUGGCCAAACUCUGUUUCCUUCUCCUUUACGUUGUCUGUCAUGCAGCUUUACCUCUGAGCUGUUUGAUUUGAUGCAUAUCAGCAUCCAGCACUUCAUCACAGCAUGGGGUCCAAAUCAACUAUCAAAAACCUGAAGUAGAACACGCUUUCUCCAGUCUUCUGUCAACCUACCCCAGCCAAAGCUAAGUAGGUAAUGCUGGUAUCAGGAAAUACAGGGAUACUGGAUCAUUCAUUGUUUGGGAGAAGUACUGUGAAGCCCUGCUGUGGUCAUUGCAGCUGUCAGCCUGGUCUGUGGUAUCCAAGACUUACCAAGCUUAAAAACUGUGGCAACACACCAACACCUUUCUGUGAUUCUGCUCAGCUGAAAAUGAAAUUAUUAAAUCAAAUGUGGAGGGUGGAAGGGAGGGGAAGUAAGACCCCCCUCAAAAUAAGCAAUACUUUUUUGCUUCCCAUGACAUGUGAAAUGAGAUAUGUGCUAGAAACUGAAAGGUUGAAAUAUGUUUUCAGGAAUUAAUCAGCACUGAAAACUAUAAAAAUAAAAUAGAGGAUUGGAGUUUCUCAAGGGAACCUACUCAGUAAUGGCAUUAAGGAGCAAGUCAAGACUCUACGAAAACAAACACCAGCAGUGAUAGGGGAAGAUAAAAUCUGGACCCUAGAAUGACAUUUUAAUAGACCUUGGGUGAUACAACAUGGUUUAGCAUAUACCAUAAUACUUAAUUCCCUCUAGAAAUCCACCUCUUAAACAAUGGGGAGGUUGUCUGGCUUUCUAUCCUUCCAUCUUCCCCAAUCAUUUUAAGUUUACGAGCGUUACAAUUUCCAACACAUUUUCCUAUUGAUCCCAUUUACUUUUUUACUUUAUGAUGACAAAACAGUUGCAGAUCAUCUGCUCUCUUGCUUAUUUAUAUUUUUGCUAUUGUUUCUACUAUGUCUUGGCUAAGGCCUCAAGCAGACUCAGAGCUAUGUGUCACUAAGGUUGACAAAACCUCUGUUAACAAGGGUCAAGAUUUUGGAUCCUAAAAGGCAUUAUUUUCAUAAUUUUUCUUUAGUAAUUCUAAUAAAAGUUUACAAUUGUAUCUUAAAGUGUACAAUCUGAAUGAAUGCUUGACACAAAGUUAUUUUGCUUCUCUCUGAAAGAAUAUAUUUUCUUUUUGCUGCCUUAGUACCUGAAGUUGGGAAACAACAGGUUACCAAUGCCACUCUGCAUUUACCUGUCCCACCCUUGCUGCACAGUUCUGGUUGAGAUCUAAACAGAUGAGGGAUGGAAAACAGAAUAAAUCUUGGGAUGAAUCCCUUAAUUUGACCUAGCCACUGAUAUUCCAAAGAUCUUUUCUGCCACCAAAAAAAAAAAAAAAAAAAAAAA